UCUGCUUCAACCAAUAUAUCUCUUUCUGCUCGGAUAUGGGCCACCUGUUCUUUCUCCAGCAUAUCUGCUUUUCUUAGUAUCUUCAUUGCAUAAAUAUGACCUGUAUCCUUCUUCUGAACAAGACGUACCUCUCCAAAUGCUCCUCUUCCUAUUACUUUCAAAGAUUCAAAGUCAUCCAAGCCAAGUCUUGUUCUCUUCAGUCGCAGAAACUCUGUUUCUUUGCGAGCAUGCUGGGACCUGCGCAGUUUUUUCUCCUCAUCUGCUAGGCCUUCUUCAUCCAUAGCUACUUCUAGCUUCUUCUGCCUGGUUUCCCUCUCUUCAUGCUGGAUAAUGAGGUUGCUAUAGAAGUUCUCCAGUGUGAGCUUGGCCACUGUCACUCUCUCGCGGGUGUGGUUGCUCAUGGGAAAGGAUGUUGUGGUCCCUGCAGUCAUAGCCAUGGUAACACACACUCCGCGCGCUGCUCGCUCGCCCGCCGACUCCUCACUCGCCGCCCGCCGCCGGCGCUGUGCGGGCACGGCCCCCUCCUCCGCACUAAUGGCAGGAGGAGGAGGGCGGCGGGAGGGCCUCGGCGGAGGGAUGGAUGUUUACUCGGCG
rnacentral:lncRNA from 1 species